rnacentral:tRNA from 1 species
UCCCUAGUGGUCCAGUCAUUAGGACUCCAUGUUUCCGAAGUAUGGGGCGCAGGUUCAAUCCCUGGUCAGGGAA